UCGAGAAUUUUUCACAAUGGGGGCAACCCUGAUGGAGCGACGCCGCGUGGAGGAUGAAGGUCUUCGGAUCGUAAACUCCUGUCACUAGGGAAAAAUAUUUUAUCAUGAACAAUUAUAAAGUUUGAUUGUACCUGGAGAGGAAGGGACGGCUAACUCUGUGCCAGCAGCCGCGGUAAGACAGAGGUCCCAAGCGUUGUUCGGAUUCACUGGGCGUAAAGAGCGUGUAGGAGGUAAGAUAAGUCAGGUGUGAAAUCUCAUCGCUUAACGGUGAAACUGCAUUUGAUACUAUCUUGCUGGAGGACUUGAGAGGAAAGCAGAAUUCCUGGUGUAGCGGUGAAAUGCGUAGAUAUCAGGAGGAAUACCAACGGCGAAGGCAGCUUUCUGGAAAGUUCCUGACUCU
rnacentral:rRNA from 1 species